CAAUAGCGUAUAUUAAAGUUGUUGCAGUUAAAAAGCUCGUAGUUGGAUUUCUGGUGGGAGCGAUCGGUCUGGCGCUUAGCGCGAGUACUUGCAUCGUCUCCGGCCAUCCUUGGGGAGAGUCUGUCUGGCAUUAGGUUGUCGGGCAGAGGAUCCUCAUCGUUUACUGUGAAAAAAUUAGAGUGUUCAAAGCAGGCUUAUGCCGUUGAAUAUAUUAGCAUGGAAUAAUAAGAUAGGACUUUGGUACUAUUUUGUUGGUUUGCGCACCAAAGUAAUGAUUAAUAGGGACAGUUGGGGGUAUUCGUAUUCCGUUGUCAGAGGUGAAAUUCUUGGAUUUACGGAAGACGAACUACUGCGAAAGCAUUUACCAAGGAUGUUUNCAUUGA
rnacentral:rRNA from 1 species